GGUUGAGUGGUCUAGCGGUUAUGAUUUCUGUCUAACAGUCUGGGUAUACGCCACCCUGCAAUUAACUUCACACAGAAGGUUCCCAGUUCGACCCUGGGCUCAAUCA